rnacentral:rRNA from 1 species
AGCGAACGCUGGCGGCAGGCCUAACACAUGCAAGUCGAACGGAUCCUUCGGGAUUAGUGGCGGACGGGUGAGUAACACGUGGGAACGUGCCCUUUGGUUCGGAACAACUCAGGGAAACUUGAGCUAAUACCGGAUGUGCCCUUCGGGGGCAAGAUUUAUCGCCAUUGGAGCGGCCCGCGUCGGAUUAGCUAGUUGGUGAGGUAACAGCCCACCACGGCGACGAUCAGUAGCUUGUUUGAGAGGAUGAGCAGCCACACUGGGACUGAGACACGGCCCAGACUACUACGGGAGGCAGCAGAGGGGAAUCUUGCGCAAUGGGCGAAAGCCUGACGCAGCCAUGCCGCGUGAAUGAUGAGGGUCUUAGGAUUGUAAAAUUCUUUCAGCGGGGACGAUAAUGACGGUACCCGCAGAAGAAGCACCGGCUAACUUCGUG